rnacentral:tRNA from 2 species
GGAGAAUUACUCAAGAGGCUGAAGAGGACGGUUUGCUAAAUCGUUAGGUCGGGUAACUGACGCAAGGGUUCGAAUCCCUUAUUCUCCG